rnacentral:tRNA from 1 species
GGUCGCGUAGCUUAGUUGGAUAGAGCAUUUGACUUCUAAUCAGAAGGGUGCUGGUUCGACUCCAGCCGUGAUCA